rnacentral:snoRNA from 9 species
GUGCACAUUUCAUUGACCUGCCUUCUCUUGUAUAUGUGAGCACUGUUAUUUCUUAUGUGCUAUACAAAUAAUUAAAGGUUCACUAGCAGUAUAACUAUAUAGUAAUGCUGCCAGUCCCCUUCAGACAAAU